GGCACGACCAACGCAGAUAUAACAGGAGAAAUAUAGUGGGGAUAGAAACGUGAAUGGAAGCAGGAAAAACGAGUCGCGAGGAGAGGAACAGACCUGGAAUAGGUUGAGCACCCCGGUGGACUGAAACGCGGUGGAGGGGCGAGAUAAAACCCCGAAACCGAGAUGAACGAAACCAGAGCAACCAAAUCAGAACAGGCAAAACACCUGAACAAAGAACACGAACGACAAACCCGUCGAAUUAGGUUAAAAACGAAAAAAUGAAGAGAAAAAUUACAAGCGAUAUAUGGAAAUAUUUCGCGGAAAAAAUAAGAAAAGGUACACGCUCAAAAAUCAAACAAACGGAUAAAAAAUUGAAAUACAAGAUAAAGGACGACACAGAGGAAAAUCAAACGGAAAACAAUGAAUCUGGAUACGACACUGCCAACACAGGAUCGUUAAGUACACUAUCAAUCGGAUCAAUCUCCGAUGGAUCGUCGACCUGGUCAAUCCAUUCGGACGAACCGCACAACGAACAUAACGAAUAAUAAACAAAACCGACCACACCGACAUACGAACAAUAUAAAAUAAAAACGAUACAACAAGCCGAAUACGGGACUGAGAAAGGAAAUCACCAAAACAAGAAUAAGGAAUGUAUUCAUGAAAAGGAAAUGGUAUAAAACAAAACCGGAAAUAAAAACGUAAAAACAUGCAAAACUCCCGAGACAAAUGUAGGUCGGAAUAGGAAUGAAAACUUAAUAAAAGAAUUAAAAACACACCGUGACAAUAGGACAUACCUGGAAAACAAGAGGUUAAAUAGCCAAAGCAAUGGCGUAACUACCACCCCAAAGGGAAGGAACGUAAAACGAAAAUAUAACAAAUCACAGAAGGAAAACCCCAUCACACUAUCUCUGUAUGAACAAAAUACAUAAACGAACAAACGGAAAAGACCAAAAGGAAAAACUAAUAAAACAGGAAACAAAACAAGAAAUAAAAAAGGAAAGAUAAAAUCGAUACCUACGCCAAUGGGCAAUAAACCACGGUACAGAAACUGUAAGAAAAUGAAAAGCUACAGCACACAGAAAGAAUGACAAGGAAAGAAGGAUUAGAAAAAGGUCAGUCAAAUAAAUAGAAAAAGAGACGAGAGAAUACCAUGAAAAUGACAAGAACAUAACGAAAAUCACGAAGGAAUAAAUCAAAAAGAACAGGAACGCAUACACAUGAGAAAACUGGAAACGAGAAAUCGCUGUAAAACAGGAUAAACAAAUGGAAAAGGAAAAACGAAGGAUAAACAAGAAAAUAUAUGGCCACAAAACGUGCAACGACAAAGAAUUAUAAAAAACGAAACCCCCACAAAAAGGCAAUAGCCACGGCAAGAAACAGAUGGAGAACAAUAAAAAAGAGAUAAAUCACCUCUAUAACCAGGCAAACAGCCGUAUAGACAUAAAACUGAAACGACCACGGUAAAAGCGUAAGCAUGUCACCAGAAAAUAAAAUUAGACAAAAUAGAAAAUAUUUACACUAACGUUUACAGAAUUAAAACACAACCAUGGACGACGAAAAAUAGAAGUAAAACUAACAAUAAAAUAACUGAAACCAUACACAAAAAACAACCACAGAGAACUGGCAGAUUAAACAAUAAACAAAAAGAACAGAAUUACCGAAAAAUACCCGAAACCAACAACAACAAUAAACCAAAAAAUAGAG